UGGAAAGGGCAGUUGUGAACGGCAGUUGGACGGAGGAAUGAAAUCCUGAAGAGAUGCCCAGAAGAGGGACACGCCCGAAGAAGGCAGAAGGGAUCAUUUCUACUCGAAUGUUUUUUUCUUGGUUAAAACUGCUAUCUCCUCUCCAGCCACCCCAGACCUCCCACCCUCUCAGUCCCAAAGCCAGACAAGUAUAAAACUGGCUCCUGCCACAUGGAAGGAAACUUGCUUUCCCCAGGAAGGGUCUGGAAGGGGAGGACACAUGGUCCACCAAAGGCAAUUUACCAAAGGAGAGGUGUAGAAACAGACAUUUCUAACGUGGGAAGACAAGCUGAGGAUCGGAAACUAAUGUCUCAAAAGUGAAGAGUUUAGUUUCCUUUGGAAAGUCAUUUAGGGCCUUAGCUCCAACAACAAGCUGACUUAGCAAAAGGAAGCAAUGCCAACAUUGAAACUAAACCACCCAGAAAGACGAACGAGUAUCGACCAACAACACAUUAGCAAAACUUUCAGGAACAGCCAUUAACAUGGAGAAGAGUCAAAGCAUUUUCCGUGCUGGCAGCUUCAGGACAGAGACUCCCUGAAGGGAGAUGAAGGACCCAGAGCUCAUUGGUGAAAAUUGACCCUAGCAAGCAAGGGCGUGAAAGAAGUCAACGCGCUUUACCCCACAACUACUGACAGGCACCAGAUGUGGCUGUGGGAGGCAAUCCCCCAAAGGACGGAGGAGGUUUCUUGACCCUUUGUGGGCCUCUGGCUGUCUGGUAAAGCCUAAGGAUCCCUUUCCAGAGUAAUACUUCAAGGUUCAUAAUAUAUGUAAGGAUUUUUAAAAAUGCAUUUAUUUAAAAAAUAAAAAUACACUUAUAAAAAUAU